UACAAGAGAUUUUACUCAUUUUUCCAAAUCGACAUUUUUGAUAAUACCCAUGUGUUCACAUACAGGACAACCUUUAUUAUCUUAAUGCUGUACUAUAGUCACAAUAUAAUACUACGAAUUAUUACAAUAUUAAUAAUAUUAUCAUAGUCAUAAUAGGUCAUAAUUUUUAAUAUAUAUGUAUAUUUUUAUAUGUAUAUUUAUAUGUGUAUUUGUGUAAUAUAUUAAUAUACUUAUCUAUACCUUGUGUGUUGUUACAUGAUUCCUCUCUUUUACCUUAUCACUUAGCAUAUAUAGAUAUAAUGUAUAUGUAUAUAUAUGUGUAUAUAUAUGUACGUAUAUAUAUAUACAUAUAUAUACAUAUAUAUACAUGUACAUAUAUGUCAUCAGGAUGGUAUAAAUAAUAUUGUAUUUCAUAAAAGCACUUCUUGUUGCUUAUAAUAUUAUCGUUUUCAUAUUGUUUUUCUACCUCUGUUAAUGCCACUCUUUCUCAACUCGUUUUGCUCCCUCUCUUUCUUUCCCACUCAUACUUUCUCCCUUUCGUUUUCUUGCUUAGCCUCUAGCUAUCAUACACAUCACAUUCUCACUCUUCUCUUUUCUUUCUCUCUUUUCUUUCAUUCUUUCCCUCUCGUUUCCAUUCACUCGCUCUUCCUCUCCAGGACGUCUAAAAAAAAUUUUUACUGUCUAUGAACUCUGCACUCGCUGUCUUUCUCUCUUCUCUCUCUCUCUCUCUCUCUCUCUCUCUUUCUUAUACUAUCAUUCAAGUAUCAUUUAAGAACAUUACAAGUCCCACUGUAUUUCCUUUAACCGAUGGCCAACGUUUUUUUUU